GAUGAACGCUAGCGGCAGGCCUAAUACAUGCAAGUCGAGGGGCAGCAGGAAUAGCAAUAUUCGCUGGCGACCGGCGCACGGGUGCGUAACACGUAUACAAUCUGCCUUUAACAGGGGGAUAGCCCGGGGAAAUCCGGAUUAAUACCCCAUAACAGUGAUCUUGGCAUCAAGGACACUUAAAAGCUCCGGCGGUUAAAGAUGAGUAUGCGUCUGAUUAGCUAGUUGGUGAGGUAACGGCUCACCAAGGCGACGAUCAGUAGGGGAUCUGAGAGGAUUAACCCCCACACGGAUACUGAGACACGGAUCCGACUCCUACGGGAGGCAGCAGUAAGGAAUAUUGGACAAUGCCCGCAAGGGUGAUCCAGCCAUGCCGCGUGCAGGAAGACGGCCCUAUGGGUUGUAAACUGCUUUUACACCGGAGAAAACCCCACUACGUGUAGUGGGCUGAUAGUAUGGUGAGAAUAAGCAUCGGCUAACUUCGUGCCAGCAGCCGCCGCAG
rnacentral:rRNA from 1 species